CUGGUAUCAUGCAGGCACAGAGGAAUUCAAACAGAUUUCCAGUCCGUGUUGGAAGCAAACUCAACAGCUAAGUAAAUCUUUUCAUCGAGUAAACCUUAUUUUAAAACUUGCUCCCGAACCAUAAAACCAGCCUCCAAAGUGAAGGUUUUUGGGGCUUCCUGCAGGAAUACCGUGCCAUCAUUGAGGAUUACUAAAGUCAUAACAAGAACAAAAAAGCAACGAUGGAAGUCUGCUAUCAACCUUCUAGACUCCAGAAGGACUUCAAAAUUUUCAGGAUGUGGGCAAGGCCAAUAUUUGUGCAUCCUUAAGCGCUUUUCUCAAGAUGGUGAUAACAAUUCACUUUUGUCUUGUGAUGCAAUGCACAUCCGCUGGCACUUCAAGAUCAAGUAUUUUCUUAGUCUGCCUGCGUAAUUUGACCAGGUUAUUACGAAGACUCCACUAACUUGUGGUCACCAGUAAAUAUUAUUCCAAUCCAAGAAGUCUCUGCCACAUCAUUUAUGAAUAACAAGGACUUUUGCUCCUGAACCACUGUCAAAUGGACUGUGAUCAGCAGAAUUCGAAAGCCUUUCACUAUAGCUCUGACAAUUUUCAGUCCUAGGUUAUUUGCCAUUCAUUUCAUGAGCCUUAAACUUCUCUGAAAUCCACAGAUGUGCCCUCUGAAAUUUAAAGUAAGUUAUUAUAUUUAUUGUGUAAGCCUUCUCUAUUUACUUGGUUACCUCCUCAAAGAAUUCCAGCAGUUUUGUGAGGCAUAACCCAUUAGCUCUGAAACUCUUGCAGCUUCAGCAUUGUUUUGGAUGAAGAGUGAAGGCAGUCUACUGGCACACUUUAUUAUGGACAAUUACUGUUUAAUAUUUUUCUUUUCACUGGAUUCUUCCAAAUAUACAUUUUUUUUCUACUCUAUGUCACUGAUUAAUGAAAAACACUGCCCUGAAUCUUUGCAGUUUAAUGGAGGCCUUGAACUUGCUCAUCUUGUUGUUGAGUUUAGAGGGUUCCCUCCCACAGUCUGCAGGUAGUACAAAUAGUGUUUUCUGGUUACACACUGGGCACUCUGGAUACCAUUAUCAACCCAGCAUGCACAG